CGUACACAAAAAUGCACAUGCUGUGAGCUCGAUGAGUAGGGCGGGACACGUGGUAUCCUGUCUGAAUAUGGGGGGACCAUCCUCCAAGGCUAAAUACUCCUGACUGACCGAUAGUGAACCAGUACCGUGAGGGAAAGGCGAAAAGAACCCCGGCGAGGGGAGUGAAAAAGAACCUGAAACCGUGUACGUACAAGCAGUGGGAGCACGCUUAGGCGUGUGACUGCGUACCUUUUGUAUAAUGGGUCAGCGACUUAUAUUCUGUAGCAAGGUUAACCGAAUAGGGGAGCCGAAGGGAAACCGAGUCUUAACUGGGCGUUAAGUUGCAGGGUAUAGACCCGAAACCCGGUGAUCUAGCCAUGGGCAGGUUGAAGGUUGGGUAACACUAACUGGAGGACCGAACCGACUAAUGUUGAAAAAUUAGCGGAUGACUUGUGGCUGGGGGUGAAAGGCCAAUCAAACCGGGAGAUAGCUGGUUCUCCCCGAAAGCUAUUUAGGUAGCGCCUCGUGAACUCAUCUCCGGGGGUAGAGCACUGUUUCGGCAAGGGGGUCAUCCCGACUUACCAACCCGAUGCAAACUGCGAAUACCGGAGAAUGUUAUCACGGGAGACACACGGCGGGUGCUAACGUCCGUCGUGAAGAGGGAAACAACCCAGACCGCCAGCUAAGGUCCCAAAGUCAUGGUUAAGUGGGAAACGAUGUGGGAAGGCCCAGACAGCCAGGAUGUUGGCUUAGAAGCAGCCAUCAUUUAAAGAAAGCGUAAUAGCUCACUGGUCGAGUCGGCCUGCGCGGAAGAUGUAACGGGGCUAAACCAUGCAC
rnacentral:rRNA from 1 species